AGUAUGCUCUAAUGGGAAACAGGCUUCAACAUAAACGGUUGUUUUCUGCUUGGUCCUAGAGCUCAACCAGUGUCAGUUUAAUAUAGCGUAAUAUUGUUUUUGGAUGGUAAAAAGUGCAGGGGUCAAAACUUGACUUUGGAAAAGUGGGGGGGACAUGUCCCCCCUGUCCCCCCCAAAAUUACGUCCAUGAGGGGUAUUGAGUUCCACAGUUUUGGGGCACAGAUAGAAAAAGCCCUUUCCCCGCGAGUCCUCAAACAUGUCGUAGGGAUGGUGAUGAGGAGCUGAUCUGUAGACCUAAGAGCAUGAGACGGCUGACUUUCUGUACCACAUCCGUGUGCAAAAAAUAUAACAUGGCAGUGCGUGUAGACAGGAUGUUAUGGCUUCCCUCUUCAGCAACAGAAGACCCCAGAGACUGCCCUCUUUUUAUACAAGUCUAUGGGGCAAAUGCACAUUCAGGAAAUCUAGAGCUGAUAUGCAUCAGCCACAGCCACAAAUUACCUUUCCAAUUUUCAGAAUGCAGUGUAUGCACACAGAAAAUGAAGCAGAUUCAUGAUUUGAAAGUCAUCUCUUUCCAUCUGUCCCCAUCCCUUUCUCAUACUAUCUUUUGUUGCUCCGCAUGUUGAGGAAAUAUCGUGGGAGAGAUGAGUAAAGCACAUGUCAGGAGACGUAAGGGCUUCUGUGGUGGCCUGUGAGCUGAAGCUGUCAGAGGAAAUGCUGUCAGCUCAACACUCGGGUAUCAAGGGCAUCUUUGUGUCUUCUCCACUGUCUGUCCUCUGUUGCCGUGCUUAAUUACAGCGUCUGUGUGUUACUUCUACUAUUGUCAGGGGCUUGACAUGGCUACACUGUUGGCAUGCGUGGAGCCAAGUUUUGACACAGUGCCCUGCAGACUGUGCAGGGUUACUGUUGAAGACUUGUCUGUAAAGGCAAGUGAGUCCGAAACACCAAAGAGGCCAGGAAAAUCUAAUCAUUUUUCUUUGUGUUUUCAUGUGUUAACCCAAAUGGUGCGCAAAGGAUGGAGGCAUGCUACCUCACACCCCAGAUUAACCAGGAAGUAGUUGACAGCUCUCGGUGCCCUGGCCUGUCGCUAAUUUCUCCACUUCCUUCCUGCUAGCCUAACUUAGCAUCAAUCACCCCCGCUCCACUCAAAGCGCUGGCGCAAACCAAUUUCCUUAAUGUUGAUUGCAUUGUAAACCAACUCUCCUCGCCUGCUCUGGGUCAUGUUCCAUUUCGGUCCUUUAUUGUGUCUUGCCUUCCUUCCACAGCUGCUGCUGCUUCUUUCUCAGAUAAAAUACUGAAAUCAACUCUCAAAAGCUUCAGAUAACUCUCCACACUUUGCUUGGACAGUGUUUGUGUCACAGCGUUGAGCAACAGAGUAUAAAAUGUAGCUUUUUAAAAAGUAGAGAAUAAGGGUCAUUUGACCUCCUUUUACCGGAUGAGAGUAGCCACAGAGUACACACCAAGAUUAGCCCGGAUUUUGCCGGUAUGCCUUCUACAUGUGGGUGUUCAGAGAGCUCAGUGAAGGAGUGAGAGGAGAUUCCAGCUUCCUGCUGAGGCAUGAGAAAUUCCCUACAUGCCUCUGAAGUUUUAGAGUUACCAUCAACACAAGAUGAUGUUAGGUAUUUCUCACCUUCACAGGAUCUGUACACCCAGCCUGCAUCUGAGGUUAGGAGCCAUACCAUGUGCUUUAACGUGAGGCCCAUGUGCUCGUGGAGCUUUUAAUGGUCUUUGCCCUUACUGACAGGAUUCCUCCCAGUUUAGCAUCACAAGUGAUUAAAAGUGAUAAGUGAUCACAUUUUAAAACUGUGAUCUUAAAAUUCGGAUUCUGUGCCAGUGCUGCGUGAAGACUGAGUUCUUCGUAUAUCUAAAGCGAGAAGAGUUAUGCUUGAAUGCAGCUACUAUCAGCUCUCACUUCAUUAGUUUCAUUCCAGCCGAUUUUAAGAUCCGGUGCCAGAAUUCUGCUCCUCCACACCCUUUCACAUGCAACGGGUCCUCCCACUGACAGCAUGAGAAUUAACACUACAUAAGUCUGCAGGAAUCUUUAAAGACCUGAACACGCACCUUGCAAAUGCCCUGUAACAGAGUUAGGAUGAGACUUAAAAAAUCUGCAUGACGAUCCAAGUAGUUAGCACUUUUUUUUUCUUCCAAAUUUUGACACAGCUUGUGUCUUUAAUUCGGUUUGUCUGCUUUUGUCUUCUCUCUGCACGAGCUCCAUCAGAUCUUCAUAUCCAGUAGCAGGCCAUUCCCAGUGGAGAAAUUGAUUAAGUGCAGUGGCUUGGGGGGGGUGAAGGAGAAGUAGCCCCUUCUGGGACUUUCCUCUGGUGCUCUGAACACACCACAGCCACACAGGAUACAUCACUCAAUCUGCUGCUUGCAGACACAUACGGGGUCUGCGCUGGGCAACAUAAGGGCUGCACAGCCAGAAAGAAACCGUAGCUGCUUUAACUCUUGUCCUAAUGGCUGGUACAGAGUGGGUCGGGUUUCAGCCUCGCUCCAGGGCCCACCGCUGACAUGCUGCUACAUUAUGUUAGCCUGUGUUUUAUUUGGCUCUGUUUGGUAUAGCGUAGUGCGUAGGAAGUGGGUCGGGGGAUGUAGGGUGGGGGUACAACUGAAGGCCCGGCAGGAGGGCUUUUCCAACACAAACACUGAGAGGCUCAUGCCGGGUGUGCUUUGAUACACACAAACUGUUGCGUUACAUGCUGCCUAAGCCGCAGUAGGAGCCAUUUUUACCUUCAUGUUCGUGGGGUUUGUGGGGUAUAAAUGUCAGCAGGUUCAGCUUCCAAAAUCAUCCGGGGCAUGUCGUCCCUGCGCGUAACCCACAACUUUAUAUUUCUUUUUUUUUAAGCGAGCCGAGCUCAAAUGCUGCCUGGUGUUGGAUGGCGUGUGUUUCACUUGAGGCUGAUGGAUGGCUCAGAUUGCUAUGACCUGGAUGCCCCAGCUUCCAAAUCAUGGCUGCCAGCAUGGCCACUGCUUACACAACCGCUGACACUGAACAGUCUGGGGUUGCCUAGACUGGCGACAUGCUCUGAAGGAUUCCCAGAGAAAGACCCUAGGUGCACACACACACACAUGCUUUGCUGCUGACACGCGCAUGAAAAGUGGGGAUUGGGUUGCCCUGACAAAUUACCUACAUCCCGACACGCUGGUGUCUCCGCAUCGGAGAAACUCGAUUGCCCUGCAGGAGGCGGGUGGUUAAGUGGAAGGUCAGGAAAUUGAGUUGAGAGGGCACCUAAAGCCCACACUUUCUCUGCUCUAGGCAAAGAAUAGGAGGAUCUAAAUGUUUAGUCUAUCACCACAAGGUUCACACUUAACUUACAGUACAAGUGCUGCACUCAGACUCAGAAAAUGCAAGAGGUGCACACGUGUACGUGUGAAUGGCAUACAGCAGUGAAGGCCAGCGUUCCAGACAGCAGGGAAAGGAUUAGGAGUCUGGAAUGCAAGACACUCCUUGACCCCACCUCGACCUUUGAGGCUAAAUCCCUUGCCCAUAUCUGUCCCUCAUGGGUCAUGAUCCAAUUGGUCGCCCCUUUAGAAUGCUGACCUCUCGGGCACCUUGUCACUCAGUCGGCUUGAAACAUCUCCAUUCACUGACCGAGGGGCCUAAGCUAGCUUGGCUGGAAAACAACCGGCGGACAUCAAAGUAUGAAAGCAGCAUUUCAGAACAGAAAUGUUUUUGUUAAUGCAAGCCUGCUUAUAUGGAAAUAAAAACGCACCGCUCUUGUUCUGUCUUUUAGGUGUUCGUGUUCACCUAAAACAUAAAUGAAGUGUUUCCCUUUCCCCCCCUAUUCUAACGGCCUUUCCAUUUGCAAGCGUGUCGACCGAGAGUGAUGUUAAUGGAGGUGGAGAGGAGCGAACACAUCAGAACGGCGGGCGCAGAGGAGCAGCUGUGAAGAGCCUGGAAGCCCCUCCCCCCUCGCUUCGCCUCUCACCUGUGUCACCGCUGCCUGCCAGGGCCAUCAAAGGUGCAUCAGACGUCUUCUUUGGCACCUUCUCACCUGUGGCGCUGUGCUGCUCCUUGCUGGCUAACGCGCCUCCACCAUCACCCACCUCUCCACCUCUUGUUCCUCAAGGCAUCUGUCACUCACCUGUCACAAUUUUCAUCAGCUCCUGUGCUUUCUCACAACAGCCUUCGCGGAGGUGGCAAUGAAGCCAUCGGAGCGAACAUCGUGACCAUUAUGUCCUAGUUCCCGUUUUGGUUGGUGCUGAAGCGGACAUGUGAAUAACAAGACGAGUCACACUCUUUUGGAAGCAUCUGAAAAGCUUCACAUUUAAUCUUUCACAGACUAAAGGACAUUUUUAUUCUUUUUUAAAGACAUUCUACUUGCUUUUGUCUUAGAUACAAUCCAACAAUAAAAAAAAUAACCCUUAUGUUGAGUGUACUCAUCUAAUUUGUAAAAUUUGUUCUUAAAUUGAAACUAGAUGAAUUUGAGGAUUUCUUUCAUCAAAAGGGUUUGGUGUAGAAAAUGUUUUCAAAGAUUUUAAAGGUGUGGAAUACUGGGGAUUUUAUUUGCUAUUUCUGAUUAUAAUCUGUCACUCAGACUUUUUAAUGCAGGCUGAACAUGAAAAUAGUCUCCUACACCUUUCUCCUGCAUUAGUUUCUGAUAGAAAUUAGAAAUGCCAAGAUUUUUAAAAGCCUGGCCACCCUACGUCAAGCGGUCGCAUGGACUCGCCAAACUUGGCUAGCGAUGAGGAAGGCUGUUGUUUUAGCGUCCAGGAAACAGCAGAGAACGUCUCGGUUAGCAAAAACUAACCAUUAGCACUAUUAACUUCACCACACAGCAGAAGCUUCUCCAAGCUUGUGUUAUUUGUGGAGACAACACAUGUCUACCAAAUAUCAGGAAAUAAGACUAGAUGUUGCCGUGUUGUGCCAAUCUCUGCUGCAGCAGACUUGUCCAUACUGAUCCAGACACUUCUGGGCUUUUUAUUUUUAUUUAUUUAUUUUUUUGCAUCAACUAUGGCUUCCAAGGCAUUCAUUCUUACCAGAGACCCCUACAAAUGUAUUGAUUGAAUGAGCGUCCUACACCUUUAAAAUAUGCUAAAUAAACAACAAAACUAUUUGCUUAGAA